GCCUGCCCACUGAAGUAAUUGAAGGGCCGCGGUAUUUUGACCGUGCGAAGGUAGCAUAAUCAAUAGUCUUUUAAUUGAAGGCUUGAAUGAACGGCUGAACGAGAGAUACUCUGUUUCUUUAUUAAUAAUUUGAAUUUUACUUUUAAGUGAAAAGGCUUAAAUAAAAUAAGAAGACGAUAAGACCCUAUAAAUCUUAACAUUAAAAUAGAAUUUAAAUAACUUAUUUGUAAUAUUUUAAAUUUUACGGGAUGUUUUGUUGGGGCGACAAAGAUAGCUAAAAAUCUGUCUUAACUUGUUACAAUAGUGUUUGAGUUAAACUAUAAGAUCCUUUUUAGAGAUUAAAAGAUUAAGUUACUUUAGGGAUAACAGCGUUAUUUUACUUGAGAGUUCUUAUCAAAAGUAAAGUUUGCGACCUCGAUGUUGAAUUAAAUACUCCUUGUGGUGCAGCAGCU
rnacentral:rRNA from 1 species